rnacentral:rRNA from 1 species
UACGAAGGGGGCUAGCGUUGCUCGGAAUCACUGGGCGUAAAGCGCACGUAGGCGGACUCUUCAGUCAGGGGUGAAAUCCUGGAGCUCAACUCCAGAACUGCCUUUGAUACUGGGAGUCUUGAGUUCGGGAGAGGUGAGUGGAACUGCGAGUGUAGAGGUGAAAUUCGUAGAUAUUCGCAAGAACACCAGUGGCGAAGGCGGCUCACUGGCCCGAUACUGACGCUGAGGUGCGAAAGCGUGGGGAGCAAACAGG